rnacentral:rRNA from 1 species
CCUACGGGAGGCAGCAGUGGGGAAUCUUGCGCAAUGGGCGAAAGCCUGACGCAGCAACGCCGCGUGCGGGAAGAAGGCUUUCGGGCUGUAAACCGCUUUCAGCAGGAACGAAAAUGACGGUACCUGCAGAAGAAGGAGCGGCCAACUAUGUGCCAGCAGCCGCGGUGAUACAUAGGCUUCAAGCGUUGUCCGGAUUUAUUGGGCGUAAAGAGUUCGUAGGCGGUCGAGUAAGUCGGGUGUGAAAAUUCUGGGCUCAACCCAGAGACGCCACCCGAUACUGCUUAACUUGAGUUCGAUAGGGGAGUGGGGAAUUCCUAGUGUAGCGGUGAAAUGCGCAGAUAUUAGGAGGAACACCGGUGGCGAAGGCGCCACUCUGGAUCGAUACUGACGCUGAGGAACGAAAGCAUGGGUAGCAAGCAGGAUUAGAUACCCUGGUAGUCCAUGCCGUAAACGGUGGGCACUAGGUGUGGGAUUCUAUUAACGAAUUCCGCGCCGUCGCUAACGCAUUAAGUGCCCCGCCUGGGGAGUACGGUCGCAAGACUAAAACUCAAAUGAAUUGACGG